GCGGUAUUCUUGACCGUGCGAAGGUAGCAUAAUCAUUAGUCUUUUAAUUGGAGGCUUGUAUGAAAGGCCGGACGAGAGAUAAGCUGUUUCAACUAAAAACACUAAAUUUAACUUUUAAGUGAAAAGGCUUAAAUAAUCUAAAAAGACGAUAAGACCCUAUAAAUCUUAACAUUAGUAUUGAUUGUUAUCUAGGUUGUUAGUGCAAGGAAAAAAAUUAAAAAAAUGUUGUGUUGGGGCGACAAAGAUAAAGAAAGAUAAACUGUCUUAUAGUAAAACAAAAAUUAUUGAUUAUUAAUGAUCCUUAUUAAAGAUUUAAAGAUUAAGUUACUUUAGGGAUAACAGCGUUAUUCUCUUUGAGAGUCCUCAUCGAAAAGAGAGUUUGCGACCUCGAUGUUGAAUUAAAAAUUCUUUGUGGUGUAGCAGCUGCAAGAGAAAGUCUGUUCGACUU
rnacentral:rRNA from 1 species